rnacentral:rRNA from 1 species
GAUGAACGCUGGCGGCGUGCCUAAUACAUGCAAGUCGAGCGAACGGACGAGAAGCUUGCUUUUCUGAUGUUAGCGGCGGACGGGUGAGUAACACGUGGAUAACCUACCUAUCAGACUGGGAUAACUUCGGGAAACCGGAGCUAAUACCGGAGAAUAUUUUGAACCGCAUGGUUCAAAAGUGAAAGACGGUCUUGCUGUCACUUCUAGAUGGAUCCGCGCUGCAUUAGCUAGUUGGUAAGGUAACGGCUUACCAAGGCAACGAUGCAUAGCCGACCUGAGAGGGUGAUCGGCGACACUGGAACUGAGACACGGUCCAGACUCCUACGGGAGGCAGCAGUCGGGAAUCUUCCGCAAUGGGCGAAAGCCUGGCGGAGCAACGCCGCGUGAGUUAUGAAGGUCUUCGGAUCGUAAAACUCUGUUAUUAGGGAAGAACAUAUGUGUAAGUAACUGUGCACAUCUUGACGGUACCUAAUCAGAAAGCCACGGCUAACUACGUG